UACGGGGGGGGCAAGCGUUGUUCGGAAUUACUGGGCGUAAAGGGCUCGUAGGUGGCCAACUAAGUCAGACGUGAAAUCCCUCGGCUUAACCGGGGAACUGCGUCUGAUACUGGAUGGCUUGAGUUUGGGAGAGGGACGCGGAAUUCCAGGUGUAGCGGUGAAAUGCGUAGAUAUCUGGAGGAACACCAAUAGCGAAGGCAGCUCGCUGGGACGGUACUGACGCUCAGGCGCGAAAGCGUGGGGAGCAAACAGG
rnacentral:rRNA from 1 species